rnacentral:lncRNA from 1 species
AUAUAUAUAUGACAGCAUCUCUUGGUGCCUCCCGAGUCCUUGGAUCAGCAGGAGAAAUAAGACAAUGUGUUUCUAGAACCUAGUAUGACCUGAGUACCCAUCCAUAAACACUAUACCUGCCAUCAACUUUAAUCCUUGCAGUAGCCUGGGGAAGGAAGGGAAGGAGUUAGGAUCCUUGUGAAAAAUGAUGAAACCAAUGCUUCUAAAUGUUAAGCAAUUUGUCCAAAGUCACAUCCCUUGUGAAUGGCCAGUCAGGAACUGGGAUCUAGCUCUGUCUGCCUAGAAGAAACUAGCUAUAAUACCUUACUGCAUUGCUGCUUAAAAAUUCUUUGUAAAACUCUUAUUCCUUUACAAAAGUGUUUUUUUAAAUCAGUUAAGUCAUUGAGGUAUAGCAUGAUAGAAAUUCUCUAAAUAAAAAUCUUAGAUUUUUCUUUCAUAAAUGCUAGAUUUUAUCCCAUCAGAGACUGCUUUAAAGUUCAUUUGUUCUAAUAUAAAAAAGGAGAGAAUCUCCUAGAAUGUGGGGAGGUGACUGAAAAAAAUAUGACUUAAUACAGUCUGAAAUUGCCACAGCCUCUACACUUAGAAGUGAGACAUUGAGUCGUGUUUCUUUCUUUACUCUUCGUGAAAAAAAAAUCUAAACAUUGAAUUGACAACAUUUCCUCAAGUACCAUCCCUCUGCCAACUGCUGUGUGAAUCACAAAGUGAGCCCUGAACUCAAGGUCUUUCAUCUCAGCAUUUGCUUAAAUGAUAACUACCUCUUGAUCAUUUUCUCUCUUUUGCUGAUGAAAUUCUACAAUUUAUAGAAUUUAUUAGCGUUCUUUAUAAGUCUUAAGAGGAUAAGAAAGUGGAGUUCAAAGCAGAAUAAAUAGCCCAGCUCUGCAAUAUAAAAAAGUUAUCUCCAGAUUUAUUUGUGCUGUGGAAAAGUAGUGGUAGAGGGGCAGUAAAUGUUACUUAUUGAGCACUCUUUGCAUGUAAGUGCUUCUCUCACAUUACAGAAUAAUGCCCACACAGCCCCAGAAAUAUCUGAGAGUAUUAAUUACUACCUUGAGGUCUCUGGGUAGGAAUUCGAAAUAAGAAAGGGGAAGAAAGGGAUAGUUAGUAGAUAUAGGCAAUAUGGUUACCUGAUUUAUUCCAGAUUCCAAGCCUAGACACAAAAUCCCAGGCUGGCUCUAAAAUUGUCAUUCUUUUCUCUUCAAAUCAUAUUUUUUUUGAGAAAUAUCCACAGGCAAUGUUGAUAUCUUUGUGGUCAUCCCAGUACAUAUUUUAUGUGAGACAGAUAAAGCAGAGUCAUUAUAGCUUUCUUCUUUUUACUUUAGCGCAUCAAAGAAAAGAAGAUGAAGAAUUAAAAUGCACGAGUGAUUAUAGAGCAGUUAGUGGGCAUCAUUCUUCAGACACUUCAGCUACUGCCUGAAGUCUCGAAUGCAGGAAGUAGCUGGGGUGACUGCCAAUUAUUUGCUGGGUGACCUUGGACAAGUCUUGCACCCUCUCUGGAGCAUCUGCUUUUUCAUCUGUAAAGCUAUGGAACUGUCUUGCUGUAGGAGGGGCAGGAUGUCAACAGAGGUGAUGCUCAAAAGAUUUAACAGGUCAUAAAGUGUGAGUACUGAGUAAUCAAAAAGGAUCAGGGUCUAAGUAUAGAGCAGGUCCAAAGGCAUCUGCCAUGCCAUGUGUUAACACUUUGGGUGCUGAAUCAAGGAGAAAUCAAGGAGGUCCCAAAGAAGAAGCAGGGGGCCAGGAGAAGGGGUAGUAAUCAGCUGUCUUUGAGCAAGAGCUAUUUACAAAAGAAUCGAGUGUAUUAACAAACAAUACUACCAUUUCUGUACACACCAACUAAAUGGCCUGAGUUUGAAGGUGAAAUAAGCUCAUCUGUGUAAAGUAUUUAGCGUUUAGCCGCUGCUUAGAGAAGUAGGCACCCAGCAGAUGUAGCUUGCUUCUUUCCUCUCCUUCCUUUUCCAUUUAUCUCCCAGCCCACAUGUCCCUCUCUAUAUACAACACAGUCAUUCCUCAGACCCUGUGAUACAUAACCUGUCUCUCUUCAUAAUGGAUUUUUGUAGGCAUGGAAAGUUUCAGACUUAUUCUCAAAACACCUGAGUCAAAAUUCUUUUUAAUGCUCCUGCAAAUACAGUUUUCCACAAUGCCUUUGGAAUUGGCAAUGUAGUUGAGAUUGUCUGAGACCAGACUUCCCAGGGAAUGAGAUGGCAUGGCUCUAACAUGACAGGUAGCAAAGAUCACAGGCAUCAACAGACCUCAGUUUGGAGAUGUUGAGACUUUGGGCAAGGUACUUCCUAUUGUUAAGCCUCGGCCUGUCACCUGAAUAAGAAAAUGGAGAGAGAGAUUUGGCUAUUUCAAACUUGAUUGUACAUAGAACUACCCAGAAGAUUUAAAAUACACUAUCUGUGUGCCAUUCACAGAGACUCUAAUUUAAGUGAUUUAGGGAGUCCUGGACUUGGGAUUUUUAAAGGGCCCCUGGGUAAUUUUAAUGGGUAGCAAAAAUUGAUAUUUAUGGAGCAUUCCAUCUGAAAGCAGCAGAAUAUACAUUCUUUUCCCAUGCACAUGGAACAUUCUCCAGGAUAUAUCACAUGCUGGGCCACAAAGGAAGGCUCAGUAAAUUUAAGAAAGUUUAAGUCAUAUCAAGCAUCUUUUCUAAACACAAUGCUAUGAGAUUAUAAAUCAACUAUAAGAAAAAAAAAACUAUAAAAAAACCACACAAAUACUUGGAGGCUACACAACAUGCUACUAAAUAACCAAUGGAUCGCUGAAGAAAUUAAAGAGGAAAUUAAAAAAUACCUAGAGACAAAUCAAAAUGAAAACACAAAAUCCAAAACAUACAAGAUAUCGCAAAAGAAGUUCUGAGAGGGGAGUUUAUAGCAAUACAAGCUUAACCCAGUAAACAAGAAAAAUAUCAAAUAAACAACCCAAGCUUAUACCUAAAGCAACUAUAGAAAGAGGAACAAAACCUAAAGUUAAUAGAAGGAAGGAAAUCAUAAAGAUCAGAACAGAAAUAAAUGAAAGAGAGAC